rnacentral:rRNA from 1 species
AUUGAACGCUGGCGGCAGGCCUCACACAUACAAGUCGAGCGGAUGAGUGGAGCUUGCUCCAUGAUUCAGCGGCGGACGGGAGAGUAAUGCCUAGGAAUCUGCCUGGUAGUGGGGGACAACGUUUCGAACGGAACGCUAAUACCGCAUACGUCCUACGGGAGAAAGUGGGGGCUCUUCGGACAUCAGGCUAUCAGAUGAGCCUAGGGCGGAUUAGCUAGUUGGUGAGGUAAAGGCUCACCAAGGGGACGAUCCGUAACUGGUCUGAGAGGAUGAUCAGUCACACUGGAACUGAGACACGGUCCAGACUCCUACGGGAGGCAGCAGUGGGGAAUAUUGGACAAUGGGCGAAAGCCUGAUCCAGCCAUGCCGCGUGUGUGAAGAAGGUCUUCGGAUUGUAAAGCACUUUAAGUUGGGAGGAAGGGCAGUAAGUUAAUACCUUGCUGUUUUGACGUUACCAACAGAAUAAGCACCGGCUAACUUCGUGCCAGCCGCCGCGGUAAGAC